UGGAGAUUGCUUCUGUGUGGAGUUUCUACAGUGAGCCUCAACAUUGUAUUUCUUUUCAUGGAAAAGAGGAGAUAUUUUGAUUUCACUAGUGUUUUCUGAAUGAGCUGGUCAGAAGAGUUCUACUUAACUGGAAUUCUGCGACUAAACCAAAUGGUCGGCCAUGCAAAGGUUCACCAUCACAAUGGUCCUGAAGCCCGGACAGCCCAACUUUUGCUGUGUAGUCAUUGGACAUGGCGGAGGCACAUCAUGAAUAACCCAGAGGAAGAACAUGCAAGAGAGAAGGAUAAUGUCACUCCUUUGAGACCACAGCCUUAAGCAGGAUCUCUUACUGGGAGUUUUGUGCCUGCCAGGCAGCACCAGGGUCUUACAGCACAGUUCUUUCUCCUGCUGUCAGGCAGAAGGUUUACAUUUGUAGUGCGGACACAUUCAGACUGAAGCAGAUGAAGCAGCCCUAAGACUGACACAUCCAGGUCACUGCUCCUGCUAUCUGCCAGUGCUUUUCUAGCCCCAGAAGAGAACAACCUGCCCAGGAAAUGUAUCUUAAAAGAAGCAUGCUUCAUUUACAUGCAGAAGUAUCUGGCCUCAGCUAUUCCUCAGAGAAACCACACAGAAAACCUAAGAGUGCCUGUAUAUGUGACUGGCUACUUCUAGAGCUGCUAAAUUAAGCUGAGACUUUCAAGUGGAAGUGCUUUGUAUUUCAGCUGGUAUUUUCUGCCUUUGCUAGUAUCUGAUUCCUCUGUGACUGCUGAACCAUACAGUAAGAUUUUGUGACCACAGCAUUAACUUUUUCUAAAGCAGCAGAGGAAGCAGUACUCUUUCUCUCGAGGAAGCGGAAUUGCAGAAGCAUUGAAACACCAAGUCUUUCAGGCCAACAGUGUCUUCUUCAUUUACAUCUAUAUUAUAUUAAAAGAGCAUUUGAGGAAAAAAACAAAAGCCUGUAGGUAGGAUGAUUAAUGACCUAUUUCAAAUGUAUAUAACAGAUCAGUACUGUGAUUUCCAGAAAUACUGCUGCUGUAUUAAGGACUUUCCAUUAUUCCUGGUACUGCACCCAUGCUGAGAGAGUCCUCGCUGUGGUUUCAGCCCAGUUUUAUGCCUUAAACUUUGUCUCUGCAUUGGUGUGCAGCAAUUGUAUGUGUAGAAGAGACUGUGCAGCACAUAUCCAGAUGAAAUAUCUCAUGUCUUGGGUCUACUUAGUUCUUUGUUUCUACGCUCUGGUGUCAAAUGAGCAUAAGUGGCUCAUGGUCUGGUUGUUACAUGUUGGCACACAUCAAUUAUUGGUUAAUGUGUGCUGAGGAUUAUUGUGACUAUGAACUGCUUCACUGCACACUAUGCAUUGGAUUUGUACAAUAUAAAGCAAAAUCUUCAAAAUGGAAUGAAAGAAAAGGGGCAAUGAGAGUUGAUUUCCA